UGGGGAAUUUUGGACAAUGUGGGAAACCCUGAUCCAGCCAUCCCGCGUGUGCGAUGAAGGCCUUCGGGUUGUAAAGCACUUUUGGCAGGAAAGAAACGUCAUGGGUUAAUACCCCGUGAAACUGACGGUACCUGCAGAAUAAGCACCGGCUAACUACGUGCCAGCAGCCGCGGUAAUACGUAGGGUGCAAGCGUUAAUCGGAAUUACUGGGCGUAAAGCGUGCGCAGGCGGUUCGGAAAGAAAGAUGUGAAAUCCCAGAGCUCAACUUUGGAACUGCAUUUUUAACUACCGGGCUAGAGUGUGUCAGAGGGAGGUGGAAUUCCGCGUGUAGCAGUGAAAUGCGUAGAUAUGCGGAGGAACACCGAUGGCGAAGGCAGCCUCCUGGGAUAACACUGACGCUCAUGCACGAAAGCGUGGGGAGCAAACAGG
rnacentral:rRNA from 1 species